AGACAAAAGGAAAAAAAAAAGAAAAAGAUAGAGAACAAAAAUUACUGAACGAGAUAAAUCAAUUUAAGGAAAAAUUGGAAAUAAAAAACAAAGAAUUAGAAAUAAAUAAUAUAGACGUUGAAGAGACAGAUAAUUAUGAUUCAGAAGAUAGUAAAACAUAUACAGAAAUAUUAACAAAUACAAAAAAUUUAGAAAUCAAUGAAAAACAAAAAGUAAUUAAUGAAGGAAACUUGGAAAGUACCAACACAGAAAUAAAUACUCUUGAUAAAAAAGAAGAUGAAAAUAUAAUACCUAAAACAGCAGAAAUAAGAAAACAAAUGGAAAAAUAUAGAAAACCAAGAAAGGAAAUAAUAC
rnacentral:lncRNA from 1 species